rnacentral:rRNA from 1 species
UACGAAGGGGGCUAGCGUUGCUCGGAAUUACUGGGCGUAAAGGGCGCGUAGGCGGCCGAUCAAGUCAGGCGUGAAAUUUCCGGGCUCAACCUGGGGGCUGCGCUUGAGACUGGUUGGCUAGAGGCCGAGAGAGGGUGGUGGAAUUCCCAGUGUAGAGGUGAAAUGCGUAGAUAUCGGGAGGAACACCAGUGGCGAAGGCGACUACCUGGCCUGUUCUUGACGCUGAGGCGCGAAAGCUAGGGGAGCAAACGGG